UAAUCUCUCAGAGAAGUGACAGUGAUC
rnacentral:piRNA from 1 species